rnacentral:rRNA from 1 species
UACGGGAGGCAGCAGUGGGGAAUAUUGCACAAUGGGCGAAAGCCUGAUGCAGCUAUGCCGCGUGUAUGAAGAAGGCCUUAGGGUUGUAAAGUACUUUCAUCGGGGAGGAAAAACAAAACUAAUAAUUUUAUUUCUUGACGUUACCCGAAAAAGAAGCACCGGCUAACUCCGUGCCAGCAGCCGCGGUAAUACGGAGGGUGCUAGCGUUAAUCAGAAUUACUGGGCGUAAAGAGCACGUAGGUGGUUUUUUUAAGUCAGAUGUGAAAUCCCUGGGCUUAACCUAGGAACUGCAUUUUGAAACUGAAAUACUAGAGUAUCGUAGAGGGAGGUAGAAUUCUAGGUGUAGCGGUGAAAUGCGUAGAUAUCUGGAGGAAUACCUGUGGCGAAAGCGGCCUCCUAAACGAAUACUGACACUGAGGUGCGAAAGCGUGGGGAGCAAACGAGGGAUUAGAUACCCGU